rnacentral:rRNA from 1 species
ACGGCUGUCGUCAGCUCGUGUCGUGAGAUGUUGGGUUAAGUCCCGUAACGAGCGCAACCCUUGUCCUUAGUUACCAGCACGUUAUGGUGGGCACUCUAAGGAGACUGCCGGUGACAAACCGGAGGAAGGUGGGGAUGACGUCAAGUCAUCAUGGCCCUUACGGCCUGGGCUACACACGUGCUACAAUGGUCGGUACAAAGGGUUGCCAAGCCGCGAGGUGGAGCUAAUCCCAUAAAACCGAUCGUAGUCCGGAUCGCAGUCUGCAACUCGACUGCGUGAAGUCGGAAUCGCUAGUAAUCGUGAAUCAGAAUGUCACGGUGAAUACGUUCCCGGGCCUU